UGGGGAAUUUUGGACAAUGGGCGCAAGCCUGAUCCAGCCAUGCCGCGUGCGGGAAGAAGGCCUUCGGGUUGUAAACCGCUUUUGUCAGGGAAGAAAAGGUUCUGGCUAAUACCUGGGACUCAUGACGGUACCUGAAGAAUAAGCACCGGCUAACUACGUGCCAGCAGCCGCGGUAAUACGUAGGGUGCAAGCGUUAAUCGGAAUUACUGGGCGUAAAGCGUGCGCAGGCGGUUAUGCAAGACAGAGGUGAAAUCCCCGGGCUCAACCUGGGAACUGCCUUUGUGACUGCAUGGCUAGAGUACGGUAGAGGGGGAUGGAAUUCCACGUGUAGCAGUGAAAUGCGUAGAUAUGCGGAAGAACACCGAUGGCGAAGGCAAUCCCCUUGAUCUGUACUGACGCUCAUGCACGAAAGCGUGGGGAGCAAACAGG
rnacentral:rRNA from 1 species